GACUGAAGUGCUCUAUAACUAUUACCUUUACGAUCCUCCCAGUUAUGUCACGCAUAGCGUUUCCACGUGCAAGUUUACUUUCUUCCACGGCAGUCCCCCGAGGUUGUGGAGGAGUCUGAUUUUACACAGUCGCGUGGAUUCUGGAAACAUCAAGCAACAAUACAAGAAACACUCAGCAGAUCAGACGGCUUGAGAUAAGCCGUGUUAUGGUUUCAGGACAGAACGCCUUCAUCAGAAUCGGCAAAGAGAAAAUCCACGAGUUAUUGUUGAAGUUUCUGUCACAACGGGGGACGGAGAUGCUAGGGACAAAUAGGCUUUGAGGCAGUGGUGGAGUGAUGCCGUUGAACUGCUGCAAUAAAUCUGAUGAAUGCACUCAGUCAAAUGCGUGGGUUUUCUCCGAGAUCUUCGGUUUCCUCCAACACUCCAAAGAUUUACAGAAAUGAAAAUGGAAAUGGAAACAUUGAGGCCACUGCGUACUGCCCAAAGGAUGAUCUUGUUUACACUGGCUGGCUGAGACUCAUCUGGUGCUAAUAAACGAGGAUGCCUUUGGUUCUGUUGUUGCUCCUUGUUACUUCAUUCUGGGGUGGAAGAUUGCAACCUUCACCUGGUCCGCCCUGUUUCGACUAAUGCAAUCAACUCGUCGUGCACAAACGGAAGAUCAAAUAGAACAAGUUGUCCAACAACUUUAGUCUGUGCACGCCACAUGAAAGAAGAAGUUACUUCAUUCUGCCAGUCCUAGUAUUAUUAUGUGCUGCACCCCCAUCAAGGUCAAUGUUUUUUUUUGCUCUGGAGCCCAGAACUUACUACAGGAUGGUAGACACAAAAUGCUGGAGUAACUCAGCGGGACAGGCAGCAUCUCUGGAGAGAAGGAAUCGAGACGUCACCCAUACCUUCUAUCCAGAGAUGCUACCUGUCCUGCUGAGUUACUCCAGCAUUGGGGUGGGAGAUAGCAACCUUCACGUGGUUCGCCCUGUUUCGACGAAUGCAAUCAACCCAGCCUGCUCAAUCAAAUAAGAUCAAAUAGAACAAGUUGCCCUUAAAUUUUAGGCUGUGCAUGCCAUACGCAAGAAAAAGACUCCAGCAUUUUGUGUCUACCUUUGACUUAAACCAGCAUCUGCAGUUCUUCCCUACACUUGCUAUAGCAUACUAGUUGUGUUCUACCCAGCGCUUUGCAUAGCUGUAACAUGAUUAUACUUUCUUAAUUUUGACCCUUUAGAUUUAAAAACACAAUUCAUUUGGCUUUUUAAUUAUUGUUCCUACUUGUUCAUGGCACUUCAUUGAUAGAUGCAUACCGACUCCAAACUCUUUUUCUAAACAUCAAAGUGGAAAAUGCUGGAAAUAUAUAAUGUCAGGAUACAUCUGUGAAGAGAGAAACUUUAAACUUUUCUGCCUGAUUAUAUUCAUCAAUUGGGAAUGCUCCCUAUCCAUAGAUGCAGCUUGACCAGCCAUCUCUGGUAUUUUCUAAUUUGUUAAAAAAAAACAUUUGCUGCUUUUGUAAUUUACAUUUGUGACAGUGUUUCAUUGAAAGUGUGCUGUCAGGUUUAUUUUGUUUCCGAAGUGACCAAAUGUACUUGGUUCCAAUGAUCUCAUGCAUGUGUACAUUAAAUUGUACUUGAUUUGUUUUUUUACCAUUUGCUUAAUCUAUUGUGUUCGCAAUGUAAUGUUUUGCCUGACACUGUUUAUCUUGCCAACAAUCAUUGUGUCAUUAACAGACUUGGAUAUGGCAUCUCCUUUUCCAUCAUCUUAGUUGUUUUGUGUGUGUAGUAGAUUAUUGGGUUCACAAUGCAGAUUCUUGCACCAAACCUGUGAUCAUAUUCUACCUACAUGCCUGUCAUCCCUAUACCUGUCUCCUGCUACUAUAGCAAUUUCCUAAGCAUGUCAAUAAUCUCAAUUUAAUUGCCCGAAUUUCAACAUGAACUAACAGUCUCUAAUUUGGUUAAUCAAAUAUUUUCUUUGAAGUCAUACUUUGUGGCACAGUGGCAUUUAUUAUCUGAGCAACUGUCUCACAGGUUCAGCAACUUGGAUUCAAUGCUGACCUCGAGUGCUGUGUGUGGAAUUUACACAUUCUCUACCACAUAGGUUUCCUUCAGAUGCUCAGGUUGUCUCUCACACUCCAAAGAAGAUCAUAAGAUCAGGUCAUAUCUGAUAGGAGCAGAAUUAGGCCAUUCAGCCCAUCAAGUCUACUCCGCAAUUCAAUCAUGGCUGAUCUAUCUCUCCCUCCUAUCCCCAUUCUCCUGACUUCUCCCCAUAACCUCUGACACCCGUACUAAUAAAAAAUCUAUCUUUCUCUGCCUUAAAUAUAUCCAUUGACUUGGCCUCCACAGCUUUCUGUGGCAAAUAAUUCCACAGAUUCACUACCCUCUGACAAAAGAAAUUCCUCCUCAUCUCCUUCCUAAAAGAAUGUCCUUUAAUUCUGAGGCUAUGACCUCCAGUCCUAGACUCUCCCACUAGUGGAAACAUCCUCUCCACAUCCACUCUAUCCAAGCCUUUCACUAUUCUGUAUUUUUCAAUAACGUACAGGUCAAUGGUUUAAUUGGUCAGUGUAAGUCGCUGUUACUCUGCGGGAGAGUGGUAGAAUCUGGGAGAUAGUCAUUGAGAAUGUGGGGUAAAUAAGAUAGGAUCAGUAUAGGAUUUGUUCUUAAUGGUUCUCACAGAUUCGAUGGGCUGAGUGGUAUGCUGUACAGCUUUGUGAUGCUAUAAAUUCCACAGACAUUCCUUGUCAACUGCUUUAGUCAACUCUUCAAAAAAAAUAGAUCGGCUUUGUAAGGCCCAACAUGCUCCUAGCUGUUUCUCCUAAGCUGAACAUCUUCAAAGUAUUCAAUCAUGCCAGCCUUCAUAUAUGCUCUAGUACAUUUCUGACUGCAGAUGUUUCAUUGUCUAUAAUUCCUUGGUAUUCUUCAUAAUAAAUGGAAUGAGAAGUACAAUGUUUCAGACUAUGUUUCAGACUGCCCUCUACUCUGAGAAGCCUUGGUCAGGAAGGUAGACAGGAAGGUUAGAUAAAAUACAUAAAUUAAUGGACAUUGAAAGGUGUAAUUCAAAACAGAUAAGUAUAAAAUACUAUAUUACUGGAAAACAGAGUUCCAAUGUUGUACUAGUAGUAUUGAACAUAAUUAUUAAUUACAUCAGAUAUUAUAUUUAAGAUAUUGUGAAGCUGCAGUCAACAUAAUCAUUAGAAAACUGAUUUAGAGAUGUCAUGUCAACAGAGUAUGGAAUAUAAGAAAUCAAAAUGUCAAAGAGUGCCACAUGAAAAAUCAGGUUAGAUUACAUUUUGAUACUGUGACUAAUUUUCAUCAUGAGACACAAACCAUCACAGAAUCUUUAAAAGGAUCACCAGUGUUGAAAAAUAGAAUUUUGAAGUAAAACUGGAAAAGCGUGGAAUUUUGAACCUUGAAAGAAGGAUAUUGAAAAUGACUUUAUUGAAGUUUAUGUUAUUAAAUGGUUCACAAUGAAUGGCUCCAAAGGUAGACUCAAGGUCAUGUGUGGAUCAAACACUUUUUGCUCAAUAUUUUUAAAGGAAGUUAUUUUUCACAUAAGAAUCAAUGAAGUAUGGAAGGAACAAUCAGGUCAAAGGACAGGAAAACAGCGACAUACAUGUAGAGGGGACUCUUGUUUUUUUUUAGAAGGAUGAGCUAAGAUGGGACUAAUGGCUCUUCUCAUUUGUGAUGUGGUAAUCUGGAUAAAUAUAGAAUAACAUGAUCAUAUAUCCCAUGAAACAUAGUGGCUCGUGUGCUGUUGGAACGACAGACGUGUCACCUGUGGAAACAAGUGCCCAGGGUUAAAUUGUGAAAAUGUGAUGGUGGAUUAAAAAAAAUCUUGGAACAUUUUACUAUCUUUGUAUCUAGGAAGAAAAGUCAUCAGAAUCUUUCCCUAUGAGAUGAAAUGAAGUCCCUGAUAAUGUAGAUCUAGCAGACAAUAAUCGGUGAUAGGUUUGGUUGGUCAAAUUGCAUCUGGUGCUGUCUAUUUUCUAAUAUUAUUAUUUCCAUAUUUAUGGAACAAGCUAAUUCCUAGUUUUAUAAUACGAUAUAUUGUAAAAUAAUAGUAUAAAGUUAUAAUUAGUGAAGAAUAAAUAAUUAACUUAAAAACAUAACUUUGCCUUUUCAUUGAGACACUUUAACCUCACAAUUGGUCUUGGCAAAAUAUUUAUUCUUUUUUUUAAAAAACCUCUUGCGAUAUUUUCCUAUGCAAACAAUCCCCACUAUCUGAAGAGUCAAAAGUCAAGAGUGUUUAUCUUCAGAAUUGAUUCUAUUCAAUUUAUGAUCUUUGACUCCAUUUGGAAAUGAAAUAAAAAAUAUAACAGAAUCCAUAAUUCCUUUUCAAAAGGAAUGUGAAAAUAAGGGCAGCUGUUGACAGGCAAAUCAGAUUACUAGAGAAGCUAGUGUAAGGGAGAGGGUUGUUUCAGUACAGUGAAGCUCUUUCAUUGCACUGGCCUUUUGGUGGUGACAGAACCAGCUGUCUCGUCUCUUUUGCCCUUCUCUGUCGACCAUCAAUUUCCAUGCAGGCUCUGAGCAAAAGCUGGCUUUCCAGUGACCAUAGUUGGAAACAAGGGGUACGACAAGCAAUGGCAGAGUGGAAUCACAUUGUUGGAAUGCUUAUUUUUAGUAUGAGUACAGUAUAAGCAAUGUUUACACCAUAGAAACAAGAAACCAAAAGGCAAAAAAAAAAAUUGUACUGCUUACGGUAAUGAAUGACGUUUCACAAAAAUCAGUAUCCUAUUUUAUUCCUCUGAGAUUUAAUUAGACUUUAUAAUUUAAAAAAGUACAUUAGCCAGACCUCUGUCAUCAAAAUUAAAACAAAUGUAAACAGAUUAAAAUCUCAUAAAAUCAUGUUUUACCCAGUGCCCAGCUUGUCUGUGUUUGCCAGAAAG